CACGUGGGGGGCAAGCGUUGUCCGGAUUUAUUGGGCGUAAAGAGCUCGUAGGUGGUUCGAUAAGUCGGGUGUGAAAACUCUGGGCUCAACUCAGAGACGCCACCUGAUACUGUCGUGACUGGAGUCUGGUAGGGGAGUGUGGAAUUCCCGGUGUAGCGGUGAAAUGCGCAGAUAUCGGGAGGAACACCAGUGGCGAAGGCGGCACUCUGGGCCAGUACUGACACUGAGGAGCGAAAGCGUGGGGAGCGAACAGG
rnacentral:rRNA from 1 species